GGAGCGAACACCCGCUGGCCCAACUGUACUGUCACUCGACCCUGGAGCACCACCACUUUGACCAGUGCCUGAUGGUCCUCAAUAGCCCGGGGAACCAGAUCCUCAGUGGCCUCUCCAUCGAAGAGUAUAAGACCGCGUUGAAGAUCAUCAAGCAGGCGAUUCUGGCCACAGACCUGGCCCUGUACAUUAAGAGGCGAGGGGAGUUUUUUGAACUUAUAAGGAAAAACCAGUUCAACUUAGGAGACCCGCACCAGAAGGAGCUGUUUCUG